CAACACACGGCCAAACCCUGCCAUGGAAUUGCUGGGCUUUUUGGGGUAUCUACUCCGUGGGCGCAGCAAGUAGGUAAUUUUUGCGUCUUCCUUCUUUCUCCUUCGGAUCUUGAUGAAGGUUCCAGAUAAAGUCAAGGUGCUUUUGGACAAGAGACGAUAUGAGCCACCUUCCUUCCUCAGUCACUGUCAUGUUUACGGUGGUUGAGGCUCCUCCCACCAAAUUAACAGCAGAAACUCGACGAUGUUUUUGCUCCAUGGACUGGCCAUUGAUAUGAAUGGAGAAGAUUUCUGGCUUGGAACUCAUUCCUAUCAAGUGCCAGCUAAUGUUGUCAUAUGCGCAAGCCUCUAAAUCUGAAAGAGACAUGAGACAGGGUUCAGAAUACAGGCAAAUCAUGCAAGCUCCCCAUGCACCCUAGAUUUGAAGUGAGUCUUCACUGAAAACAUUAAAAAAAAUUGCUGUGAUCAAUGUUUUCAACAAGAGGAAGUUUCAGAAGCAUGUAAGUGGAACAGAUACCAAAAUCAUGUGUCAGUGGAAGACAAAUGUUUAAAUCUUACCUACAAGUGACAAAGUGACUUACAACAAGCUGGCAAAAAACGGGGAAAAAAACCAGUGCCUUCUUUCGGAAAGCUGACCUGUCCUUGCUUGGGGAGUGAGGGGAAAACAGGGCAGGCAGGGAAUGGAAAGAACAAAGCAAGGAUCUAAGCUAAAGACUGAUGUGAUACCUAGUGACAGUAACUACCCUUCUCAAAAUUAAAAAAAACCCACUUAAGACAA